UGUAGGAGCGAGCUUGCUCGCGAUAGCGAUCGGUCUGUCGGCAUCCAUGUUGAAUGUCCCGCAGUCAUCGCGAGCAAGCUCGCUCCUACA
rnacentral:misc_RNA from 1 species